UAUCUUUUGAAAUUCCAAACCAAAUAACCUCUCUCUUUUUGGGUGAAUACCAAACCUAUCUCUCAAUCCUCUGUCUCUCGUUCUCUCCAAACCCUAACACUAGUCUUCUGUAUAUUCUUGGAUCGGCCGGCACUGUCUCCAUUCUUCGACCGGCGGAGAGUGACGAGUAGCGAGAAUGGAGGCGAUCGGCUAGCGGCGGCAAUGGCAGCAAUCGGCGAGCGGUGGCGACAAUUGAGUGGAACAUGAGAGAUUGGUUGAAGCAUACUCUGUUGUAAACCAAAAACUGCAGCAUUCUUUUUCUGAACAGACUAAUUUGGGGAGGACCAUCAGGAAUUGAAGGUUGCAAUGUGCAAAAGGUUAUAUGAAAAGGAAUGUAAACUUCAUUAUCCUUACCCCCGCACUGCGGAAAUUGCUCCAGGUCAAAAAUUGCUUGGAGAGAUGCAAAAUAUGGUCAAAGAAUUCACGAACUUUG